rnacentral:tRNA from 2 species
UAAAAAGUAGUUUAAUAGGUAAAACCAAGAAAUUUGACUUCUUAAUUAUAAGUUCAACCCUUAUCUUUUUAU